GGUCAGCAUACUGCCGUGAAUACGUUCCCGGGCCUUGUACACACCGCCCGUCACACCAUGAGAGUUGGGGAUACCCGAAGCCUGUGAGCUAACUAUUUAUAGGAGCAGCAGUCGAAGGUAGAAUCAAUGAUUGGGGUGAAGUCGUAACAAGGUAAC
rnacentral:rRNA from 1 species